CGUACACUCCUGCGGGAGGCAGCAGUGGGGAAUAUUGCACAAUGGGCGCAAGCCUGAUGCAGCGACGCCGCGUGGGGGAUGAAGGCCUUCGGGUUGUAAACUCCUUUCGCUAGGGACGAAGCUUUUUUGUGACGGUACCUAGAUAAGAAGCACCGGCUAACUACGUGCCAGCAGCCGCGGUAAUACGUAGGGUGCGAGCGUUGUCCGGAAUUACUGGGCGUAAAGGGCUCGUAGGUGGUUUGUCGCGUCGUCUGUGAAAUUCUGGGGCUUAACUCCGGGCGUGCAGGCGAUACGGGCAUAACUUGAGUGCUGUAGGGGUAACUGGAAUUCCUGGUGUAGCGGUGAAAUGCGUAGAUAUCAGGAGGAACACCGAUGGCGAAGGCAGGUUACUGGGCAGUUACUGACGCUGAGGAGCGAAAGCAUGGGUAGCGAACAGGAUUAGAUACCUCAGUAGUCCC
rnacentral:rRNA from 1 species